rnacentral:rRNA from 1 species
GACGAACGCUGGCGGCGCGCCUAACACAUGCAAGUCGAACGAGCGAGAGAGAGCUUGCUUUCUCGAGCGAGUGGCGAACGGGUGAGUAACGCGUGAGGAACCUGCCUCAAAGAGGGGGACAACAGUUGGAAACGACUGCUAAUACCGCAUAAGCCCACGGCUCGGCAUCGAGCAGAGGGAAAAGGAGCAAUCCGCUUUGAGAUGGCCUCGCGUCCGAUUAGCUAGUUGGUGAGGUAAUGGCCCACCAAGGCGACGAUCGGUAGCCGGACUGAGAGGUUGAACGGCCACAUUGGGACUGAGACACGGCCCAGACUCCUACGGGAGGCAGCAGUGGGGAAUAUUGCACAAUGGGGGAAACCCUGAUGCAGCGACGCCGCGUGGAGGAAGAAGGUCUUCGGAUUGUAAACUCCUGUUGUUGAGGAAGAUAAUGACGGUACUCAACAAGAAAGUGACGGCUAACUACGUGCCAGCAGCCGCGGUAAAACGUAGGUCACAAGCGUUGUCCGGAAUUACUGGGUGUAAAGGGAGCGCAGGCGGGAAGACAAGUUGGAAGUGAAAUCCAUGGGCUCAACCCAUGAACUGCUUUCAAAACUGUUUUUCUUGAGUAGUGCAGAGGUAGGCGGAAUUCCCGGUGUAGCGGUGGAAUGCGUAGAUAUCGGGAGGAACACCAGUGGCGAAGGCGGCCUACUGGGCACCAACUGACGCUGAGGCUCGAAAGUGUGGGUAGCAAACAGGAUUAGAUACCCUGGUAGUCCACACUGUAAACGAUGAUUACUAGGUGUUGGAGGAUUGACCCCUUCAGUGCCGCAGUUAACACAAUAAGUAAUCCACCUGGGGAGUACGACCGCAAGGUUGAAACUCAAAGGAAUUGACGGGGGCCCGCACAAGCAGUGGAGUAUGUGGUUUAAUUCGACGCAACGCGAAGAACCUUACCAAGUCUUGACAUCCCUUGACGAUGCUGGAAACAGUAUUUCUCCUCGGAGCAAGGAGACAGGUGGUGCAUGGUUGUCGUCAGCUCGUGUCGUGAGAUGUUGGGUUAAGUCCCGCAACGAGCGCAACCCUUAUGGUCAGUUACUACGCAAGAGGACUCUGGCCAGACUGCCGUUGACAAAACGGAGGAAGGUGGGGAUGACGUCAAAUCAUCAUGCCCUUUAUGACUUGGGCUACACACGUACUACAAUGGCGUUAAACAAAGAGAAGCAAGACCGCGAGGUGGAGCAAAACUCAGAAACAACGUCCCAGUUCGGACUGCAGGCUGCAACUCGCCUGCACGAAGUCGGAAUUGCUAGUAAUCGCAGAUCAGCAUGCUGCGGUGAAUACGUUCCCGGGCCU